rnacentral:rRNA from 1 species
CAAGACAACUUUACGGAGUUGACGAUUGACGGAGCGAAGCGACGUCAAAGCGUUCAUUAAAGUCGAGUUGGCUUAGGGAUACGUUCGUUGGGUAGGGGAGCGUUCUGUAAGCCUGUGAAGGUGUGUCGUGAGGCAUGCUGGAGGUAUCAGAAGUGCGAAUGCUGACAUAAGUAACGAUAAAGCGGGUGAAAAGCCCGCUCGCCGGAAGACCAAGGGUUCCUGUCCAACGUUAAUCGGGGCAGGGUGAGUCGACCCCUAAGGCGAGGCCGAAAGGCGUAGUCGAUGGGAAACGGGUUAAUAUUCCCGUACUUGGUGUUACUGCGAAGGGGGGACGGAGAAGGCUAUGUUGGCCGGGCGACGGUUGUCCCGGUUUAAGCGUGUAGGUGUGUGUUCCAGGUAAAUCCGGUUCACUUUAACACUGAGGCGUGACGACGAGGCACUACGGUGCUGAAGCAACAAAUGCCCUGCUUCCAGGAAAAGCCUCUAAGCAUCAGGUAACACGAAAUCGUACCCCAAACCGACACAGGUGGUCAGGUAGAGAAUACCAAGGCGCUUGAGAGAACUCGGGUGAAGGAACUAGGCAAAAUGGUGCCGUAACUUCGGGAGAAGGCACGCUGACACGUAGGUGAAGUGAUUUACUCAUGGAGCUGAAGUCAGUCGAAGAUACCAGCUGGCUGCAACUGUUUAUUAAAAACACAGCACUGUGCAAACACGAAAGUGGACGUAUACGGUGUGACGCCUGCCCGGUGCCGGAAGGUUAAUUGAUGGGGUCAGCGCAAGCGAAGCUCCUGAUCGAAGCCCCGGUAAACGGCGGCCGUAACUAUAACGGUCCUAAGGUAGCGAAAUUCCUUGUCGGGUAAGUUCCGACCUGCACGAAUGGCGUAAUGAUGGCCAGGCUGUCUCCACCCGAGACUCAGUGAAAUUGAACUCGCUGUGAAGAUGCAGUGUACCCGCGGCAAGACGGAAAGACCCCGUGAACCUUUACUAUAGCUUGACACUGAACAUUGAGCCUUGAUGUGUAGGAUAGGUGGGAGGCUUUGAAGUGUGGACGCCAGUCUGCAUGGAGCCGACCUUGAAAUACCACCCUUUAAUGUUUGAUGUUCUAACGUGGACCCGUAAUCCGGGUUGCGGACAGUGUCUGGUGGGUAGUUUGACUGGGGCGGUCUCCUCCUAAAGAGUAACGGAGGAGCACGAAGGUUGGCUAAUCCUGGUCGGACAUCAGGAGGUUAGUGCAAUGGCAUAAGCCAGCUUGACUGCGAGCGUGACGGCGCGAGCAGGUGCGAAAGCAGGUCAUAGUGAUCCGGUGGUUCUGAAUGGAAGGGCCAUCGCUCAACGGAUAAAAGGUACUCCGGGGAUAACAGGCUGAUACCGCCCAAGAGUUCAUAUCGACGGCGGUGUUUGGCACCUCGAUGUCGGCUCAUCACAUCCUGGGGCUGAAGUAGGUCCCAAGGGUAUGGCUGUUCGCCAUUUAAAGUGGUACGCGAGCUGGGUUUAGAACGUCGUGAGACAGUUCGGUCCCUAUCUGCCGUGGGCGCUGGAGAACUGAGGGGGGCUGCUCCUAGUACGAGAGGACCGGAGUGGACGCAUCACUGGUGUUCGGGUUGUCAUGCCAAUGGCACUGCCCGGUAGCUAAAUGCGGAAGAGAUAAGUGCUGAAAGCAUCUAAGCACGAAACUUGCCCCGAGAUGAGUUCUCCCUGAGACUUAAAGUCUCCUGAAGGAACGUUGAAGACGACGACGUUGAUAGGCCGGGUGUGUAAGCGCAGCGAUGC